rnacentral:lncRNA from 1 species
UGAGUUAGCUGCCUGGAUUAAUCAGUAUGGGAAACAAUCUUUUGUAAACGCAAAGCUGUUUUUUGUAUAUACUGUUGGGAUUUGCCUCAUUGUUUGACAUCAAAGAUGAUGUAAAGUUCAAGAGAGUGAAUAUUUUGCCAUGUUCAGUUAAAAAUGUGCAGUCUGUUACAGGUUGACACAUUGGUUGACCUGAUUUAUGCAGAAUUAAUAAGCUAUUCAGAUAGUGUAGCUUUAGUAUGCUGCACAUGAUACUGGCAGCCUGGGAGUUCAUAGAUGGACUUGGGACCCAGCAGAUUUGAAACAUGUAUAU